UGAGUGCGUCCUGUAGCGUAGCUUCUGAUUGGGCAGUCCACCGUUUUACUUCCUUCGUGGUCACGUCUUCCCUCUGUAUGCUUUGUUUAUACUGGGGAAUGAGGAAGAUGGCGUUGUGGUCAGACUUCCCAACAGCCGGGUGUGGUAAACAUGCUGGUAAAAGUUUGGCAUGACUUGUCUGAGGUUCGCUUUGUUAAAGUCUCCUGCUACAAUGAGGGCUGCGCCCGGGUCCUUGUUACAAUAACUUUAGCUAUUCUAACUACUGCUAGCUUGAAGGCCUGCGGUACUUAGCCGAUUAAUAGAGGUAGGUUGAUCAUAUUUAAGAUUGAAGCAUUAAUUAAUGGUAGGACUGAUAAAGGUAGGGGUCUAACAGACAUGUUGAUGGUUUGGAGGAAGGAAUUACUGAAGUUAGAUCAGAAGUGUCAGGGUUAGUGCUGUGGUAGGCAGGACGAGGACCCAAUUGCUGGACUCAGAACACAAGAGGGGUAAACUAAGAGAGGAAACAAAAACCUAACACAGGAAACUAGAAACUAAGAUCUAAGAGUGUAGGAAACUAGAACCUGGGAAACUAGAAAUGAGGAGACAAAUGAACAUUAAGACAAAGGAGACUAGAUGUGAAACGUAGAAUACAGAGGAAGAACAGUAACCUAGGGAUUAGAAACUAUUAAAGCACAAGCAGAACCAUGAACAACAAUAAAUCAAAGAAUAUUAAUUAAACCUGAAACAGUGUGUGACAAAAAGAUCAACUGGAGAAAAAAAAUCUAAAUAAAUAUCAAUGGCAUUGAAAGCAGCUGUACAUUAUGUUGUGUCUGUGAGAUUGUUAUGAGUUUUCUCUAAUGCUUAAAAUUUUAUUUGUGAAGCCAUUUCUAGUUAAUGUUAAAAGAAUGGUUCUCUCAAUAGUGUUCUGACUUUUUGUCAGCCUGGCUAGAGUGCUAUUGGCCAUUUAUUUUACAUGAAUUUCUUUCUUCCUAAUUAUGUCCCUUCAUCUAUUUUCUUACCAUAUUAAUUUUACCUUCCUCUGUCUUUUCCUCACUCUUUUAUUGGGACUGCUGUUCCUCAUCCAGCACUUCUUCAUAGCUAAUGUUAGCAACAGCUGCCUCUUGUGAUGGCAAGGGCUUUAUAUUAGUUGUUGUUGGUGCUACUGUUGACUAUGCAGCUGCUAAAGUUACAUGUUUCUGCAUCUGUUUCUAGUUUCUUUCUUUCUCUCAGCUUUUCAGCUUUUCAACCACUUCAACACUACAGUCUGUUGUACAAAGUACACAAGUACAACGGGAAGUUAGGUAAGGAGCCAGUUGUGGUAAGAGAUUUGAUUGGGCAAACCAUUGUCAGUAUUAAGAAUGAAGCCUGUACCCUGUGUAAUUAUAUAUUUGGCCAGAUUUCUAGAAAUAGGACCGGCUCCAUCAAAGUUGGAAUGUUUCUGCUUAAUUAGACCCAGUUUUCACUAGAAAGUUUCUGAAUUAAAAAGCUCACCUUUUUUUUCAGUCCUGGUGUGCUGACUGUAAGCUCGUCUGGAAUCUGGUGCAACUAGGUUCCAGAAGUGUGACUAGCUGGCUGCAUGGAUGAAUUCAUGACUCAUGAGGAUAAUUCACAGUAAAUAAAAUGUUUUCACAGAGACCACGCCUACCACACAGUUAUUGCCAAAUCUGUAGUCAGCUACUCUGACAUCAUGUUUGCAUAAUCAGCACUGCAGGAUAACUAUAUUUGUUCACCCACACUGUGAGCGCCUGCUCUUUGUUUUAACAGAGCUAGCACUCUUUCAUGCUGCAACAGUGGUCAUGUUAAAGCUUACAAGGAGUGUCUCAAAGUCAAACAAGUUCAUUCUUUCACUUCUUUUGAACACUGGAACUCAGAACUCAUUGUAACCAUUUAAAAUUAUAAAACAACUUUUGGAUAGAGGGAGAGCAGGUCAUCUAACAAUUGAAAGGGCACUUUUAAAGAAGCUCAAAGUGAGUCUGUGCAGAUGCCCAGGUGAUCGGAGGAGGGAGCAGAGGAGGAGGAGGAGGAAGAGGAGGAGUAUAAAAAGCUGCUGCUCUCUUUCAGUCGAGUUUAAAUACACUUAAGUUUCACCUGAUCAGAGCUUCCAUCAACCUGCGGAUUACCGACAUGCUGCAGCGGUCAACUGUGUUGCUGCUCUUUGCGCUUGUUGCUGUUUCACUUGCAGCUCCAGUCCAGAAGAGAAACUCAGAAGAUGAGAGAAUUCUGCCUCUGUUGGAGCACCUGAAUGGUAGUGCGCGCACACACACACACACACACAUGCACACACACACACACACACGCACACACACACACACACACACACGCACACACACACUAUUGUUCAUUCUGUUGAUUUUGUUUUCAGGUGGCAGGACAAGUGAACCUGUCACAACAGAGCCAGAUGUUCAUGAAAGUGAAGAGCAAACUGAAGCUCCUUCAGUUGAUGCCACUGGGUCACCAGAUGUCAGCGAUGAAGGUGUUGCCAUGACUGACAGCGAUGAAGCUCCUUCAGUUGAUGCCACUGAGCCACCAGGUGGUUCAGACAUCAGCGAUGAAGCUGAUGUUACAGCUGACAGCAAUGAAGGUGACGUUAAAGAUUCUCCUGAAGAAACUGAAGAUGCUGCAGAACAGUCAAAUGAGACUGCAGAGUCUGUGCCCGAAAACAGCGCCGACACCAGCACGGAGUCUGAGCCAGCACCUAAUGGUGACAAAGAAGAUGGGGGGGAGGCAUUGAGUGAUGAAGAGCAGGAAGUGAAGGAGAAGGGAGAUGAAACGAGUGAAAAAGAUACCAGUGAGGAGGAGGAGGGGGGGGAGGUGGUGCCUAUCAUAGAAGAGGACAGCAAAGAGGAAACUCCAGCUGAAGAAGACAGCCAAAUGAAUAACAGUGAGAUUGAAGACAUGGUGGAGAUAGAGGAGAAAGAGGCUGAGGAGGAAGAAACAGAAGAGGAGAAUGAGGAGGAGUUCAAAGAAGUGGAGGAGGAGAAGGAGGAAAAAGAGAACGAUAAUCAGGAUGAGCUAGGGGAGGAUAAGCAGGAUGAGCUAGGGGAGGAGAAAGAGGAGGAGGAUGAGCUAGAGGAGGAUAAGGAGGAGGACGAGCCAGAGGAGGAGGAGCUAGAGAAGGAAAAUGAAGAGAAAGAGCAAGAUGGGGAUAAAGAGGAGGAUGAGGCAGAAGAGGAGAAGGAAGAGUUAGAUAAUGAAAAGGAAGAGAAAGAGGAAGAUACGGAUGAGAAGGAGGAGCAGCGGGAGGAACUGGAGGAAGGAAAUGAGGAGGAGCAAGAGAUAAAGGAGGAGGAAGAGGAGGAGGAGGAUUUCAAGGAUGAAUCUGAAAAUGCAGAUACUGAAGAACCUGAUGAAAUUGAUGAUGGUCUGGACUCCACUGAAGCAACACCUGCUGGUGAACUGGACCAAUCAGAUGAUGCCACCCCCGUCACCAAACAGGCUACCAGUUAGAUGCUUCGCCUCUGAGCUGUGGGAGCUCAGCAACUGCAGAGCCAAGCCCACAGCCUCCACAGUGGAAUCCAGCUGCCAUGACUUCAACAACCUAAACUGCAUGAAUUUCAACGUUCAGCCAACUGUUGUUUCCUCUCCCCAUUUUCUAGCAGUGUCUGUUUUAACCUCUGGCUUCUUUGGUUUUCUCAGAUUAAAAAAGGAAAUGUCUUUCACCUGCUGACUGUCUUCUUUUCUGCCAUGUGUCUCUCUUUCCAGCUUCUUGUCUGCAGAAAUAUUAAAUCAGCUGCUGAGCUCAGAUCUGUUUUGUGUGUCUGAUUUCACACAUUAACAUGUACAUAAGUCCCUCUUUAAUUUACAGAGAAUGUUUUUAAGGACGUGAAAAACCAGUCAGUGGUGUAUACAGAGGAACUGCUAAUAAAGUUUGAAUUGUCGAAACCUCAUCGACUCUUUCUUCCAACAGUCAGCAUGCUUCCCUGAACCAGUAAUGACGUGAUUUCAGUCACACAUUUUUAUCAUAAAAUGUGACAUUAUUGUUCAGAAGCUGGAG
ensembl:lncRNA